rnacentral:tRNA from 2 species
GGGGGUGUAGUUUAGUGGCAGAAUGCUGGUCUCCAAAACCAGCGGCGGGGGUUCGAUUCCCUCCACCCCUGCCA